GGGAAGGGCCUCUUGUUGGAAGUUCCUCCCUUGUGGAGUUUUCCUUAUGUGCCUAGAUCUUUGGAGUUUCAGCUGGGAUGGAAUAGUUUUCUUCAGAAUACCUGGAGAGAUUGGAAUGCAAGGACAGAUUGGAAUGCAAGAUCUAAUUUUCUCCUAUUUUGUUUCCCAUGCAGCCACUUAUGGGUAUGUGUACAGUGUCACCUUAUCCACAUGGCAAUGUUCUACAGAGGCAUAAAUUAGAAGGACAAGGAGCCUGUACUCUUAGUGGUUUCUAUUCUAUUGGCACUAUCACUAUGCAGAGAGGCCAAAAUGGAUUUAGUAUGUUUUUGAAGUACUGAACAUUUGCUAAACUGCCACUGAGAGAUUUGGAGCACAAGUCCUUUUAUUUCUAUUCCAAAUUAUGCCAAAUAAAAACAGCACCAUGUAUGCACAGAAUGGCAUUGGAAUUGCAGCACGCUGUCCCUGUUUCUCAGUCUGCACUUCAGGUCAGUCUCCAUGCUCUGCCAGGCAUCCCAAGGCUGGAAAUGGUCCUGCUGUCUGCAGUGUACCUUGUCAAGAGCUGAGUAAUACUUAGCACAAGGAUAGCUUUUCAGAUAACCACUAGACCAAAUGAAAGCGGGUCUGUGUUGACACAUUCUGAUUCAGAAAGAUCUCUACAUGACUAAGAGACACUUUCAAUUUCCAGGAUCUAGAAAUAGAAUUGCAAAUUUGUUCUCUUCUCUGUAAAAUAUCUGGAUGGGGUGGGUCCUCCUACUCCACACAAUACUUGUGGGGUAAUAAGAGAACUCAUAUUUUUUUUCUGUGUUAGGAAAAGAAGGGGGGGAGUAUUGUCCAGCUGCUGGGCUCCUUUCUUUUUAUCUUGGCUGUCAAUUAUCAGAUCUCCAUCAUAUGAGAAGGAAUGGGAGUUUCUCACACAAGUGGGAGAAGCAUACCUUUCCUGACAAGUGGACUUAGGCAAUAGUGGGGAAGAACUAGCAUGAUGAACAAUUUCUUGGCCAAUUAAAUAGAACUCUCACGUUACUUUCUCUCCCUAUUUUUGAAUCUGUAAUAUCUGAAUUGGUUGAAACAUGUUUGAGUAGAUGAAACAAGUUCACUUUGACACAAAAUGGUACCACAGCUAAAUACAAAGUGAAAUUGCAGGAGUCAGAAGAUAAUUUUUCCCUGGUUCUGCGUCAUGAAACUAUACCACAUUCACCAGGAAACUUAGUUUACACAAUUGCAUUUUGAAUGAUGCCUUAAGAAUAAGGCUUUCCAAAAAGCAGCUAAUACAAAUAUCGGUUUUAUUUUUUGAAUUUGGUUUUCCUGGGUAACCGGAUGACUAAAGGAAAGCAAACAUGUUUCGACAGUGGCAUCUAGUGGCCGAACACUCCCUGUGUAAUGAAACCAUAAAGGAAGGCUGCCAAUUUCCAAGAAAGAAAUGUUAAGAUAGUCUGCUGUGGAAAGUGUAAAAUAAUAAUAAUAAUAAAAAUGCGUCGUCCUUGUUGUUAUUAUUAUUAUUACUAUUGCUUUUUAUGGUAUUUUGCUGGGGAAUGUCUUCUGUGCUACUGUUGCUAAUAGGAACUAGGUGACUAGCAGGAUAUUUCAAAAAAGUGUAAGAGGAAAAAAAUCACAAAAAGGGUUUUUUCUGGUUUCUAUGUAGCCUCACUUUGCUUAUGUUCAUGCUACUGUGCUCUAGUGUGUCUGCCAGACUGCAGAAAUCCAU
ensembl:lncRNA